CCUACGGGAGACAGCAGUGAGGAAUAUUGGUCAAUGGGCGCGAGCCUGAACCAGCCAAGUAGCGUGAAGGAUGACUGCCCUACGGGUUGUAAACUUCUUUUAUAAAGGAAUAAAGUGAGGCACGUGUGCCUUGUUUUAUGUACUUUAUGAAUAAGGAUAGGCUAACUCCGUGCCAGCAGCCGCGGUAAUACGGAGGAUCCGAGCGUUAUCCGGAUUUAUUGGGUUUAAAGGGAGCGUAGAUGGGUUUUUAAGUCAGUUGUGAAAGUUUGCGGCUCAACCGUAAAAUUGCAAUUGAUACUGGAAGUCUUGAGUACAGUUGAGGUAGGCGGAAUUCGUGGUGUAGCGGUGAAAUGCUUAGAUAUCACGAAGAACUCCGAUUGCGAAGGCAGCUUACUAGACUGCCACUGACAUUGAUGCUCGAAAGUGUGGGUAUCAAACAGGAUUAGAUACCCCAGUAGUC
rnacentral:rRNA from 1 species